GAUGAACGCUGGCGGCGUGCCUAAUACAUGCAAGUCGAGCGAACGGACGAGAAGCUUGCUUCUCUGAUGUUAGCGGCGGACGGGUGAGUAACACGUGGAUAACCUACCUAUAAGACUGGGAUAACUUCGGGAAACCGGAGCUAAUACCGGAUAAUAUUUUGAACCGCAUGGUUCAAAAGUGAAAGACGGUCUUGCUGUCACUUAUAGAUGGAUCCGCGCUGCAUUAGCUAGUUGGUAAGGUAACGGCUUACCAAGGCAACGAUGCAUAGCCGACCUGAGAGGGUGAUCGGCCACACUGGAACUGAGACACGGUCCAGACUCCUACGGGAGGCAGCAGUAGGGAAUCUUCCGCAAUGGGCGAAAGCCUGACGGAUCAACGCCGCGUGAGUGAUGAAGGUCUUCGGAUCGUAAAACUCUGUUAUUAGGGAAGAACAUAUGUGUAAGUAACUGUGCACAUCUUGACGGUACCUAAUCAGAAAGCUACGGCUAACUACGUG
rnacentral:rRNA from 1 species